rnacentral:rRNA from 1 species
UACGAAGGGUGCAAGCGUUACUCGGAAUCACUGGGCGUAAAGCGUGCGUAGGCGGGUCGUUAAGUGCCUUGUGAAAUCCCAUGGCUCAACCAUGGAACUGCUGGGCAUACUGGCGAUCUUGUGCCACCUAGGGGCGAGCGGAACAGAUGGUGGAGCGGUGAAAUGCGUAGAUAUCAUCUGGAACGCCAAUGGUGAAAACAGCUCGCUGGGGGUGUGCAGACGCUGAGACACGAAAGCCAGGGGAGCGAACGGG